UCGGAACGUACCCAGAAGUGGGGGAUAACGUAGCGAAAGUUACGCUAAUACCGCAUACGAUCUACGGAUGAAAGCAGGGGAUCGCAAGACCUUGUGCUUUUGGAGCGGCCGAUAUNUGAUUAGCUAGUUGGUGAGGUAAAGGCUCACCAAGGCGACGAUCAGUAGCUGGUCUGAGAGGACGACCAGCCACACUGGAACUGAGACACGGUCCAGACUCCUACGGGAGGCAGCAGUGGGGAAUUUUGGACAAUGGGGGCAACCCUGAUCCAGCAAUGCCGCGUGAGUGAAGAAGGCCUUCGGGUUGUAAAGCUCUUUUGUCAGGGAAGAAACGGGAGUGGCUAAUAUCCAUUCCUAAUGACGGUACCUGAAGAAUAAGCACCGGCUAACUACGUGCCAGCAGCCGCGGUAAUACGUAGGGUGCAAGCGUUAAUCGGAAUUACUGGGCGUAAAGCGUGCGCAGGCGGUUUUGUAAGUCUGACGUGAAAUCCCCGGGCUUAACCUGGGAAUUGCGUUGGAGACUGCAAGGCUGGAGUCUGGCAGAGGGGGGUAGAAUUCCACGUGUAGCAGUGAAAUGCGUAGAGAUGUGGAGGAACACCGAUGGCGAAGGCAGCCCCCUGGGUCAAGACUGACGCUCAUGCACGAAAGCGUGGGGAGCAAACAGGAUUAGAUACCCUGGUAGUCCACGCCCUAAACGAUGUCUACUAGUUGUCGGGUUUUAAUUAACUUGGUAACGCAGCUAACGCGUGAAGUAGACCGCCUGGGGAGUACGGUCGCAAGAUUAAAACUCAAAGGAAUUGACGGGGACCCGCACAAGCGGUGGAUGAUGUGGAUUAAUUCGAUGCACGCGAAAACCUUACCUAC
rnacentral:rRNA from 1 species